GGUCCUAUAGUGUAGUGGUCAGCACUCUGGACUUUGAAUCCAGCAGUUCGGGUUCAAAUCCCGAUAGGACCU
rnacentral:tRNA from 1 species